rnacentral:rRNA from 1 species
UACGUAGGGUGCAAGCGUUGCUCGGAAUUAUUGGGCGUAAAGGGUAGGUAGGUGGUCUCAUUUGUCGGGGGUGAAAGCCUUGGGCUUAACCCAAGAAGUGCCUUCGAAACGGUGAGACUAGAGUUCUGGAGAGGGUCGUGGAAUUCCCGGUGUAGCGGUGAAAUGCGCAGAUAUCGGGAGGAACACCGGUGGCGAAGGCGGUUCUCUGGGCCCGUACUGACGCUGAGGAGCGAAAGCGUGGGGAGCGAACAGG